CCAUGCUUUUGCCAUAGGCCCAAGAUCAUUCCAUGAUAUUGUUUUCAACUUGGUCACAGGGACAUGUGGAAUGGCAGUGUCCCAAUGACGGUACAAAUGCUUGAGUUCCGGAGGUAGAUGAAUCAAGACCAUACAGUUGCCUUCAGAAUCACAGUAGAAGUCUUGUGCAGUGAGUUUUACUUCGACCAGAUGAUAGAGUUCAUCUUCAUAGCAGGGUUCAGGAGUGAUGUUUGGUUUGUACCACAUGGUACAGAAGGCAUAUCCUGCUCCGUC
rnacentral:lncRNA from 1 species